CAUGCUUCUACAGCAUGUAUAACUAAAAUUGGAACCAUACAGAGAUUAGUAAGACCCCUGCACAAGGAUGACAUGCAAAUCUGUGAAGCAUUCCAUAUUUUU
ensembl:snRNA U6 U6 spliceosomal RNA